rnacentral:rRNA from 1 species
GUAACAAGGUUUCCACAGCACAAGUUAGGGAAUGUGAUACUUCCUUGGGUAAAACUUACAGAAGCCUUAGUAGCCCAGAGAUGGGAGGCCACACGACUAAAAAUAUAGUGUGCCACUUGCUAGUUGACCUAGGCGUCAGCAACAUAACCGGACUGACGGGAACGACCUAUAGCACCACCAUGCAGAUGUGGAGGUGCUAUAGGGCAACCCACAGCGGGUCUCAUGGACGCUAAUUGCGUACGAUGGGGCACGUUUACAGACUAAGUGGUUAUGGGUAGAGCUGCAAUGCUCUAUUUAAGAUAUAGUCGGGCCUGACGGAUAGCAUCCGUCGGGGUCUCUCUUCGCUAAAGGUCCCCCAUUUAGCGAUAGACGCAGCCGUUCCGUAGGUGAACCUGCGGAAGGAUCAUUAUCGAGAACGUAGCCCCCCGGGGUACAUCUCACCACCCUAUGUUUAUUACCUAUGUUGCUUUGGCAAGCCCGUCUCUAUCGACCACCGGCAUCUCUGCUGGUCAGCGCUUGCCAGAGGACCCCAAACUCACAUUUAUUGUCGUCCGAGUACCAUAUAAUAGUGAAAACUUUCAACAACGGAUCUCUUGNUUCUGGCAUCGAUGAAGAACGCAGCGAAAUGCGAUAAGUAAUGUGAAUUGCAGAAUUCAGUGAAUCAUCGAAUCUUUGAACGCACAUUGCACCCUUAGUAUUCUGGGGGGUAUGCCUGUCGAGCGUCAUUACANCCUCAAGCACUGCUUNNNUUGGGCUCACNGCUCGGUGAGCCCUAAAAUCAGUGGCGGAGCCGUUNGGUUUCCAGCGUAGUACAUCUCUCGCUGUGGGACCGCAACGUGCCCUGCCAGCAACCCCUAAAUUCUCGUGGUUGACCUCGGAUCAGGUAGGGAUACCCGCUGAACUUAAGCAUAUCAAUAAGCGGAGGAAAAGAAACCAACAGGGAUUGCCUCAGUAACGGCGAGUGAAGCGGCAACAGCUCAAAUUUGAAAUCUGGCCUCACGGCCCGAGUUGUAAUUUGCAGAGGAUGCUUCGGGCGUGGUCUAGUCUAAGUUCCUUGGAAUAGGACGUCAUAGAGGGUGAGAAUCCCGUAUGCGACUGGGUGCCUAAGUCCAUGUGAAGCUCCUUCAACGAGUCGAGUUGUUUGGGAAUGCAGCUCUAAAUGGGUGGUAAAUUUCAUCUAAAGCUAAAUAUUGGCCAGAGACCGAUAGCGCACAAGUAGAGUGAUCGAAAGAUGAAAAGCACUUUGGAAAGAGAGUUAAACAGUACGUGAAAUUGUUGAAAGGGAAGCGCUUGCAACCAGACAUGCCUCUAGUUGAUCACCCGAUGUUCUCACCGGGGAACUCUGCUAGAUUCAGGCCAGCAUCGGUUUCGGUGGUUAGAUAAAGGCCCUGGGAAUGUGGCUUCCCCCGGGAAGUGUUAUAGCCUAGGGUGUAAUGUAGCCUACCGGGACCGAGGACCGCGCUUCGGCUAGGAUGCUGGCGUAAUGGUUGUAAGCGAC